UACUCCAAAGAAUCAUCUUUGGAGUCAUUAAGCUAUCAAUAUUUUAAAAAAUUGUAUUUGAUGUUUAUUGCUCUUUUUGAUCACUAUGUGUUGAUUUAUAUGGAUGAAUCCUAGAUUACCAUGGGAGGAAAGAAUAACGGAGUUUGCCAUAGAUGUAGGCUGCAGGGGCAUUUUUUUUGUUGAAUGCCCGAACAAAUGCCAUUGUCCGUGGUGCAAGCAUGCCUUCAUGAAGUAUUUUGAGGUGGAGAAGAAAACGAAAAAUCAAGGUAGGCUGUUCAAUACUUGCAGCAUGAAGUGCGGAUUUUGGAAGUGGGUUGAAGUGGCUAAAACAAGUAUUGCAUCAAGUUCUAAUAAUGUGGUGAACGCAGAAACUGAAGAUUUAUCCAACCUAUUCGAAACAGGAUGCCGCCUAACUGAUGAAAAAGUAGUUGAGAUAUCUAUGAAGGUGGAGGUGAAAAUACACAAUGGAAGAGCAAGUGCCUAAGUUGUUUGUCCUUAAUGUAAUUGUAAUUUCCUGACAAUGUAACUCAGUGGAUUCAUAGUUAGGUCUGUAAUGUGCAUUAAAUGUUUAACUUAUGUAAACCUAUGAAUUUGGAAACUCAGGCUAUGGGAAUUGAAUUUGCCUAAUUUGCCUAUUGGUUGUAAUGCGUAUUAAGGUUCAUAAUGUUAUAGUUUUGCAUUGGUUUAUGAAUUAAUGUCAGGCCCUUCUUUAAUUAUCUCAGUA
rnacentral:lncRNA from 1 species